UGAACGUUGAGUAACUGGGUUUGCUUACCUUUUAAAAUUAUUAUUUUAUUGAGUUGAGUGUGAAAAUAAACAAAGACCCGCUUAGUGAGAAGAAGCAAAGUCUAUUUAUUCUGAGCUUGCUGUAGCAAAGAAGAUGACCACCAUCGCUAGCCUUUGGAAAAUGCUCACAGGCAGGCAGAGGAGUGGGAAGGCUAAAGGAUAAAGAUAAACACUAAAAUUUUAAUGAGCUUAUCUGAGCAUUCAACUGGGCUGCACUAGACAGCAAGUAGUUGAGGACGACCCUGAGAGGGGUUGGGGUGGGGGGACUUUUAGAAGGCAUUUGCGGAAGCAAGACAAAUAUAUUUGUACAUUAUUUGUAUAACUGAUCAAGUGAAUUUUGAUUUGAUGUAUUUAUCGAAGUCCCACAUUAGAGGCCAGUUGGGUGGUUUCUGAUUAAAAUUAAGUGCUGUUUUAUGGUUUUACACUGAGUUGGUUUCAACUUGACUAUGGAGAAACUCAAGGUGCUGAAGCCACUGAAGUCCAGGUAACUUUUUUUAACAGAGGGAAAAAGGAAAGACUUCAACUGUGUCCUGAUUGGAAGGUGUUAGGAUGGGGAACUUGUAGGCUAACUGAAGUG
rnacentral:lncRNA from 1 species